rnacentral:rRNA from 1 species
CCUACGGGUGGCAGCAGUAGGGAAUCUUCGGCAAUGGACGGAAGUCUGACCGAGCAACGCCGCGUGAGUGAAGAAGGUUUUCGGAUCGUAAAGCUCUGUUGUAAGAGAAGAACGAGUGUGAGAGUGGAAAGUUCACACUGUGACGGUAUCUUACCAGAAAGGGACGGCUAACUACGUGCCAGCAGCCGCGGUAAUACGUAGGGCGCGAGCGUUGUCCGGAAUUAUUGGGCGUAAAGAGCUUGUAGGCGGUUUGUCGCGUCUGCUGUGAAAGGCCGGGGCUUAACUCCGUGUAUUGCAGUGGGUACGGGCAGACUAGAGUGCAGUAGGGGAGACUGGAACUCCUGGUGUAGCGGUGGAAUGCGCAGAUAUCAGGAAGAACACCGGUGGCGAAGGCGGGUCUCUGGGCCGUUACUGACGCUGAGGAGCGAAAGCGUGGGGAG